CCUGGAAAGAGGACAUGUUAGGUCGUAAGAUCGCACAGGUCCCUUUCUCACACCCUUGUCUAUGAGCACCAUUUUGUUGUUUCCUCGGCGGGUUCGCCCGCCGGCAGGAACCCCUUCAACCAUUUUGCAUCAGCAUUAUACUUCUGAUCUAAAACAAAAAUAAUCA
rnacentral:misc_RNA from 1 species